UUGAAAAAAACCCCGUUUCUGACACUUUCGCCAUAGCAAGGCGGAAGAAUCUCAUGUUUAAAUAAUUAAUAAUUAUAAUAACAAGGUGAGAAAGCACAUUCCGGGCCGUAAUCUGGAGCAAGGGCCGUAUAAAUAAUUUGAUAAGAAACCAACGGAAUUGAAAUAACAACUGUCGCUAAGUCCGCCCCACAAGGGCUCGAACAAGGCCACCGAGCCUCACACCACCUGCAGUGCCAUGGCUUCUCCAUCCAACUGGUGUUUGAUCUGGGAGAGUUCCUCCAGUUCUUGCUGGUGCCGGUCAGUUUUGUGGCCUACCAGAGACCGGUAGAAGUGCAAAGCAAAGAUGAUGAAGACCACACCGACCGGGACCAUGAUAAUGGUGGAGGCCAUGGCAGCAUUCCAACCGGGGCUGUCCUGCAAGGUGGUUGCCUCAGUGGUGUUCCCAGCGCCGGGGACCGGAGUGGGCGUGCAGCACUUCCUGGAGGAGGGGACGCUGCCAACGGGCAUAAACUUGACCCAGCAGAUCAGCACCACCUCGGUAAGGAAGAGGAAGAUCCCCAAGGCCGUGGAGAAGCCCCAGGCGAGCUCGAUGUAGCGGUGCAUGCGUUCGUGGGGCGACUCGUUGACCGAGUUGAGGUUGUGGAUGUUGCUGACGGCCUCAAUGUUCGGCAAGAUGCAGGUGCUUACCAUGAGGGCAAAGAGGUGGACGGCCACCAGGACGGUGGUGCAGGCACUGAAGGCAACCAGCAGCUCCCGUGGGUAGUCAUAAUCCUCUAGCUGCACCUCCACCAUGGCCACCUGACAAAGCACAGGAUUAUCACUCAUUACUUAAACACUGACAGAUACCUAACAUGUAUGUUAUUCCGUGAUCCCAAGCAACAAGAAGUUCUAGGGACAACACAACUGCGUUUAGUUUCCUUUGGAGGAGAGCACACUAGAGACUCAACAGUACCGUUGGCAACAAUUGCUUUAUUGACAAAUGUGACAGCAGAGCAUAGGGGGAAGCAAACAGGCACUCCGCACUCCAACAACAGGCAGCUAAUCCUGCUGCAGACAUCAGGUACCCAAGAAGCAACUUGUGCACCGACCUCCAUGCCUCCCACAAGAUUGCAUCCCAGUUUCUAGCUAACUCCAGUGAGAAACUCAAGCCUGAUUCAGACAUUAUAUUGUACAAAUGUACGGUUGUCUUACACUUGUAGAUGUGAUUGUGUGAAUGACUGUACCUGUGUUCAUUUUAAAAGUGAACUUGGAUACAGGCCCUUCAAAUGCAUGUUUCAGAUAGGAACUGCACUUCUGUACCUGUGUUCAACAUAACAUGUAAAUGACUGUACUGUGUACAGAUCUGUACCUGUGUACACUGUACACUCAUUGCACAAGCGGUGAACAGAUCAUGUGAAUGGACUUUCGGUCCAUUCACUUUUCUUUCUCUGUUCGAAACUGUUCACUGCCACUUAGCCACUGUACUCUCACUUACUCAUUAUUAUUUAUUUUUAAAAUCCAUAUCCCACCUUUCUUAUAAAAUUCAAAACUGCUAUUAUGCCCAUAUUGCAGAUGGGGUGGCUGAGGCCAAGGUAUCUUAGCGGCAUUUCAGUUUGAUUAGUGCUUCCAAGCAAGAGUAGCAUUAAUGAAUGCCAAACAAAUAUGGGUUGCCCUGUAGAGAAUUGGGCUGGGUGGGCCGAGCAUUUCUCCUCCUCUCGUGGACAGGAGGCCCUUGGGAAAUCCCACCAGGACCUCAGCGCUCAUCCCACCAUCAACUUGAGACUGGACCAGUCCAAGUAGCAGAUUUAUUUUCUGGAUCUUCCCAUACAACUAGACCAUGGGUUUCCAACCUUCAGCCGCCUGAUGCUGUUGGACUACGAUUCUGAUCAGCCGGGCACAAUGGCCUAGGAGAUCUUCUUUGGAGGCUCUUCUCUGCGGAGUAUUACUGCCCACAAUGGUGCAACAGGCGACCACCAAAGAGAGAGACUUUUCAAUAGCCACUCCGCCUCCCACCUGUGGAAUGCCCUCUCUAGAGAGAUCUGCCUGGCAACCUCUUUGUACAGAUUUAGGGACCAGGCAAAAACCUUCUUGUUCUGCCAAGCAUUCAACGUGUAAUCUGUGGUUUAUACUGGCUGGCUGUGAGCUUUUCUCGUUUGAUUGGCUUCAUUGGUUGUUUUAUCACUCUGUUCGGCCUGGCCUUCCAAGGUUUUUUAAUUGUUUUAAAGGGUUCUUGAUGUAUUGGUUUUUUAAAUAAGAUUUUAAAUUGUUUCUUUUUUAGCCGUCGUAUUUUAAAAAAGUUUCUGGUUUUGAUUAUUGAUUGAUUUUAACUGUUUUGUGGCAUUUGUAAACCGCCCUGAGUUAUUCUGUAAGGGUGGUCUAGAAAUCGAAUAAAUAAUAAUAAAUAAUAAUAAUUUA